UUGAACUGAAGAGUUUGAUCCUGGCUCAGAUUGAACGCUGGCGGCAUGCUUUACACAUGCAAGUCGAACGGCAGCGCGGGCUUCGGCCUGGCGGCGAGUGGCGAACGGGUGAGUAAUAUAUCGGAACGUACCCAAGAGUGGGGGAUAACGUAGCGAAAGUUACGCUAAUACCGCAUACGAUCUAAGGAUGAAAGCAGGGGACCGCAAGGCCUUGUGCUCCUGGAGCGGCCGAUAUCUGAUUAGCUAGUUGGUGAGGUAAAGGCUCACCAAGGCAACGAUCAGUAGCUGGUCUGAGAGGACGACCAGCCACACUGGAACUGAGACACGGUCCAGACUCCUACGGGAGGCAGCAGUGGGGAAUUUUGGACAAUGGGGGCAACCCUGAUCCAGCAAUGCCGCGUGAGUGAAGAAGGCCUUCGGGUUGUAAAGCUCUUUUGUCAGGGAAGAAAAGGUCGUGGCUAAUAUCCACGGCUGCUGACGGUACCUGAAGAAUAAGCACCGGCUAACUACGUGCCAGCAGCCGCGGUAAUACGUAGGGUGCAAGCGUUAAUCGGAAUUACUGGGCGUAAAGCGUGCGCAGGCGGUUUCGUAAGUCUGUCGUGAAAUCCCCGGGCUUAACCUGGGAAUGGCGAUGGAGACUGCGAGGCUAGAGUUUGGCAGAGGGGGGUAGAAUUCCACGUGUAGCAGUGAAAUGCGUAGAGAUGUGGAGGAACACCGAUGGCGAAGGCAGCCCCCUGGGUCAAAACUGACGCUCAUGCACGAAAGCGUGGGGAGCAAACAGGAUUAGAUACCCUGGUAGUCCACGCCCUAAACGAUGUCUACUAGUUGUUGGGUCUUAAUUGACUUAGUAACGCAGCUAACGCGUGAAGUAGACCGCCUGGGGAGUACGGUCGCAAGAUUAAAACUCAAAGGAAUUGACGGGGACCCGCACAAGCGGUGGAUGAUGUGGAUUAAUUCGAUGCAACGCGAAAAACCUUACCUACCCUUGACAUGGCAGGAAUCC
rnacentral:rRNA from 1 species